CUUAGUAGUUUGAUCCUGGCUCAGAUUGAACGCUGGCGGCAGGCUUAACACAUGUCGUUGGAGCGGUAGCACAGGGGAGCUUGCUCCCCGGGUGACGAGCGGCGGACGGGUGAGUAAUGUCUGGGAAACUGCCUGAUGGAGGGGGAUAACUACUGGAAACGGUAGCUAAUACCGCAUAACGUCGCAAGACCAAAGAGGGGGACCUUCGGGCCUCUUGCCAUCAGAUGUGCCCAGAUGGGAUUAGCUAGUAGGUGGGGUAAUGGCUCACCUAGGCGACGAUCCCUAGCUGGUCUGAGAGGAUGACCAGCCACACUGGAACUGAGACACGGUCCAGACUCCUACGGGAGGCAGCAGUGGGGAAUAUUGCACAAUGGGCGCAAGCCUGAUGCAGCCAUGCCGCGUGUGUGAAGAAGGCCUUCGGGUUGUAAAGCACUUUCAGCGAGGAGGAAGGUGGUGAGCUUAAUACGUUCAUCAAUUGACGUUACUCGCAGAAGAAGCACCGGCUAACUCCGUGCCAGCAGCCGCGGUAAUACGGAGGGUGCAAGCGUUAAUCGGAAUUACUGGGCGUAAAGCGCACGCAGGCGGUUUGUUAAGUCAGAUGUGAAAUCCCCGGGCUCAACCUGGGAACUGCAUUUGAAACUGGCAAGCUAGAGUCUCGUAGAGGGGGGUAGAAUUCCAGGUGUAGCGGUGAAAUGCGUAGAGAUCUGGAGGAAUACCGGUGGCGAAGGCGGCCCCCUGGACGAAGACUGACUCUCAGGUGCGAAAGCGUGUGUAGCAAACGGGAUUAGAUACGCUGGUAGUCCACGCUGUAAACGAUGUCGAUUUGGAGGUUGUGCCCUUGAGGCGUGGCUUCCGGAGCUAACGCGUUAAAUCGACCUCCUGGGGAAUACGCCCGCGAGGUUCCACUCAAUUGAAUUGACAGUGGCCCGCACAAGCGGUGGAGCAUGUGCGUUAAUUCUAUCCAACACGA
rnacentral:rRNA from 1 species